rnacentral:rRNA from 1 species
CCUACGGGUGGCAGCAGUGAGGAAUAUUGGUCAAUGGCCGAGAGGCUGAACCAGCCAAGUCGCGUGAGGGAAGACGGCCCUACGGGUUGUAAACCUCUUUUGUCGGGGAGCAAAGCGAGUCACGUGUGACUCAUUGAGAGUACCCGAAGAAAAAGCAUCGGCUAACUCCGUGCCAGCAGCCGCGGUAAUACGGAGGAUGCGAGCGUUAUCCGGAUGUUUUGGGUUUAAAGGGUGCGCAGGCGGAUUUUUAAGUCAGCGGUAAAAUCGUGGGGCUCAACCCCAUCCAGCCGUUGAAACUGGGGAUCUAGAGUGUGCGAGAGGUAUGCGGAAUGCGUGGUGUAGCGGUGAAAUGCAGAGAUAUCACGCAGAACCACGAUUGCGAAGGCAGCAUACCGGUGCACAACUGACGCUCAGGCACGAAAGCGUGGGUAUCGAACAGGAUUAGAUACCCUAGUAGUC